rnacentral:misc_RNA from 1 species
AAGUCGUAACAAGGUUUCCGUAGGUGAACCUGCGGAAGGAUCAUUACCUUUCAAUGCAGAAGAGUUGAGACGGUUGAGUAUCUCGCCUCUCAAUUCUCGCUGUAUUUUACCCUUGUUUUUCUCAUACUAUUAUUUCCUCGGCAGGCUCGCCUGCCGGGUGAAACAACUUCAAACCUGUUUAAUUUUCAAUCAGCGUCUGAACAAAUUAAUAAUUACAACUUUCAACAACGGAUCUCUUGGUUCUG